rnacentral:lncRNA from 1 species
AGACCCACACUACAUGGAACAUGGUACACUCUAACAGUCAUUAUCAUCACCGCCAUUGUCAUCAUCAUCAUCAUCAUCAUCAUCAUCAUCAUCAUCAUCAACAACAACAACAACAACACCAUUAAAGAAAAAGGGAAAGCAGAAGAAGUAAGCUGGCAGCUGGGAAACAGACUUCAGGCCCAGCUGAGCAUGCUUACCACAGUUAUUACACGGUGGCUUCUGGACGUAUCUACAGCUAGAGUAUUUGAAGCAGGCCAAGGCUUUGGCCUGACAGAAAGAGGUGUCCUUCCUGCUGCCUGCUGUAGUGCCACAGAGGCUGUCACAUGGGGGUCUUGUGCUGCGCAUUCUCUCUGUGCCUGAUGACACCUUAAUCAUGAUCAGAGAAGAUGGAGCUAUUUAUUUCUGGUCCCUGCAGCUGAAGCUGAAAAGAAAAAAGUGGAUUUUUGUAUGUGAUUUUCAUUUGAUAAGGAUGCUGAGUGCUACAGUUUGAUUUUAUUUGCUAUUUUAAACUGCUCCUUAAGUGGCAUGAUUACAUAAAUUGUGCCCUUGAAUAUAAUAUAUUCAUGUUGCAUUUUGUUAGGCUACGGAAUGCAAAUAAAAUAGAGCACUACAUGUACUACAAGAUAAUGCUUCAUUUUUGCUUCUAACAUCAGAUGGAGUGAUGAAUUGCCUGUGAUUUUAUCAUGUAAUUUAU